AUGGUUCAAUAAGGAAAUAGUGGCAUGUUACACAGCGGUCGCUGCAGCUGUAGCCGCAUCACCUUACCUUCUAGGCACUGCAGGAUUUACCACUGUUGGAAUAGCAGCUGGUUCACUUGCAGCCAAAUGGAUGGCAUUUGUUGGCAUUAUUUCUAAGGGUAGUUUAUUUGCGUGGCUUCAAAGUCUUGGUAUGGCUGGUAUGAGUAAAGCGGCGAUUAUAAAGGCCUUAGGUUCUGGUGCAGCUGUUUGUAAUGGUGUCAUAGACGUAUUCUCAGACAAUACUUGUGAAACAGAAUGAAACUUUACCGGUAUAUUGUAAUUUGGCGAAGGCCAUGUGAUUUGUUGAUAAAAUCUUUAGAUUUUGUUGCUUAAAAAAACGAAAAGAAAGAAACAAACAAACUGUCAUACACUUUUUUUUAAAUUUAUUUUGUAAUGUUCAACAGUAUAUUUAUCGAAGCGGCAAUUUAAACACGUAUCUCGAAGAUAACAAUGUACAUGAUAAUCUUAUCUUUUUAGUGGUGAUUCGAUAACAGUGUUGUAAAUAUUUUCCUAUAACAACGAUAGUUUAAUGUUUGAUAUAAGUGUAGAUUUUAAUGGAUUUUAAUGAUCAGAUUAAAGUUUUGUCUCAUC